GUGAGCAAUGGGCAUCCGCAUGGCGUCGGCCAUCUCCCUCUUAGUUACAGACACAAAGCCGGGAUCUCUGGCCUGAGAGACGAGACCGCCUUUUACCAGAGCCUGAAGAAAAACGACAUGGAAGGUUCUCACAUACGGCUUAAAGGAAGCUGGACAAAGAUCGGAGGUACUAUUGAAGAGGUAAUGUAAAAAAUCUGAAAUUCUUUUUUGGUUGGUAAGUAAAUUUUUCUUCUGAAAUGAAUAUAACUGAUUCUUGAACAAACUAAACCUAAACUGUGCUCACUUUUCAAUUAGACAUAAAGUUAAUUCACUGUAGGAGUAGCCUUAACUUGAGAUUUAGAUUAUUAUUACCUAUAUAUGAGAGAUCUGACGGCAGAUCAAGACAUUUCCUAGUAGCAGAGAUGGUAUUAAAUUAGUGUGUAAGGAGAGAGUUGAUCAGUCACUUCCACACUUACCUCCUGGACCAGCUGGUCGGCUGCGGUGCGAGAGCUCUGACUCUGACUGUCACCAUAGUCGGGGUCAUAAGGGAACUGAACAGAAAAAAUACGCAUUGCUUCAAUGAUCUGUUCAUCAUCUGUGACACUGGACGAGUCAGCCUUCGAUAAAAUGUUACCUGCGUUUUGUCGGUUCUCACUGUGAAGCUCCAAGAACGUCUGCUGUCUGAAAAGAGUAAAAUAAAUACACAAGGAACAGCUAUAUAGUACAGAGAAGCCCCUCUUUUUAUGUCUUCAGUCUCAUUUAGCCAGUUUUUGUCUGAGUCAGUUUAAAGUGGUCUUUAACGCAGAGGAGGGCUCGUUUUGGUAGAUGUUUCCUGCUUCGGCCAUAGCAGCCCUAAAUAAAAGACCUUAUUGAGUGAAAUGUACAGUUGUUUGCAUUUAUAUGCGGCUGAGUAACCAUGCUUGUAAGCAGGGAGCUUGACUGAGAACAGGAUUUGUGAAAAUUUGUGCCAUGUUUCUGUAAAAUGAAGCUAAUAUUGAAGUCUGAUUUAGGCAUGAGGAUGAUUUAUCAGAGUCAAUUUAAUAAAGAUACCAGCAUGCAUGCUGGCUAUCUAUAACUCUGAGCAAUUUUCAAGUGUCUCUGAAGACCUCUUCAUAGUCAAUUAUCGGACUUCUGUGCCUUACCUGGCUCUUCGUCCUCACAGGGAUUGUAAAACUCUUCGGGGCUGCCUUCUCUCUCAAAUGAAAAGCUGAAAGAUGAUUGCCUCCCAUUAGAUGCAAUAAGUCCCUGAGCUUAUGCUAUCAGUCUGCUUUGGAGCAUGUGUUGGCACUCACUCUGCAAAGGCGUUGUUGUUGGUGUUGUUCUUCGGUGCAGCUGUGGGGAAGAAUUCGGUGGUGGGCACCAAGGCGGAGGAGUUUGGUGGAGACUCAGGUUGGCUCUCGGAGAACUUAAGGGGUCGCUGGCUGGCCAUCUGCUGGGCCUGAGCGUUUUCAGGCUCAGCGGCGAAUGAGUCCCCACGGUUACCAAACAGACCAUGGGAGCGCUGGAAAUACAGAAGCAAGACAAGAAUGCACACAAGUAUAAUUCCAUUUUAAUAAUCAAAUCAAGAUAAGUAAUAAAAUGUAAAAGAAGACUUUAGACACAUUGCGUAUAUCUGCAUUUAUCAGCUGAUGUCACACCAUGUCCAUUUCACUGAGCAUUUUUCAGGUUUUUGAAAGGUUUUCAGUGAAUCAAAAGCCAAGAAAAUCUCCUCUACCUACUGAACAUCUUACCAAAAUUUAAAAUAACCACAAUUAAACACACACAACAAUGACAAUAAUGCAGCGUGUGUGAACAAAUGCACUACACUUUGCUGCACACAGACCUGGAAAAUGGCCUCUUCUCCAGCCUCCUCCAUAGCUCUGUCCAUCUCUUCCUCAUUCUGCAGGUCUCCUGAAAUGGCUCUGUGCAUCUCCGGAGCUGCUUCUUCAUCUAUACUCCUCAGACCCGCCUGGAAAAACAUGGAGGAUGUGCAGAAAUGAAGAGCAGAGGCACAUGUGUGGCACCGUGUUGACAAGAAUAGGAGAACUUGCACAAGAAAAACGAGGUAAGAUAUAAAUGCAUAACAAAUUUAAUAUUUUGUUGAUUUUUAUUAUUUAAGAGCUAAUAUUCACCUGGAUCUCCGGGCCUGAGGCGCUCUUCUUAGUUGGUCGGUAGCCGUAGUACUCCUCCUGACGCUUCAAGAACUUGCGGAAAUGGUCUUGGAGCAGGAAGGUGGCAUAGAAUUUCCCCACAGUCACCUCAUCAUCUGUAAGUCACAGUGAUGUCUGUGUGAAAAAUGCUGCAUUACUCUGUAAAGGCUGAAAUGCAGCUCAAGCUAUUUGCAACUUUAGACUCACCUCCUAUAGGGGGGAUGACCUGGUCCAGCAGCUUCAUACUGGUGCGCUUCCAGAUUUUCUUUAUAAUGGCUCUCAGUUCCUCAUUGGCCUGCUCAAAGUUACCUACGAGGAGCAGUUUAAGAGCAUUUUACAUGGGAAAGAAAUGCACAUAUUAUAUACAAUAUAUAGGUCAAUAUAAAAUUGCUGAGCUUUCUGUAACAUAGCUGACAGGUAUCAUAGUCAACAUUUUUGCUGUUUUCAGGCCAAAAAUCAACAUGACCGCCUAUAAUCAAACACCACAUGGCAUUUUAGAGAAAGAUUCUUCUAAAUAUUAGAUAUACAAUUGAGUAAAACUGAAAUAGAAAAUUAUAUAUAAAGAUACUGUAGUAAACCUGUUGACAUGCCAUAAAUCCACACUUGACUCAGACACUACUUUAUAUUAAAUAAGUCAGAAAGCCUUGGAGUCUGGCCAGUAUUUUCUUCAGGAGGAAAUGACAUCAUGUGGAGCAGGUCAUGUGAUCUGGAAUUAACACACUUCCUUGAGAGGUGUUUUUGUAAUGGGGAACUUAGUUGAAAGUGAUUUCUAGGACACAGACACAAUUUGCUAUUUUCUAUGUAAAAUUUGAUAUAUUGCCAAAAAAACAAAUAUCUGUAAUGAUUAUCUGAACUUAAUAAAAAGAACACAAUCGAAAUAAUUUUUGAAUAAGCUCAUUUUAUUAUUGUUUAGCUAAUUAGAAGGUAGUUGUUAUUAAAUUGGGACGGUUGUUUAGUUGACAUUUUAGUGAUAUCCGGUCAUCUUUUAUUAAUAAUUGAUUGUUUCCAUAAUAAAUAAUUAUGGAAUUUGUAAAGACAUGAUCAUAAUGGACAUAAAAAACAUUAGUUUUUUUACUUCAAUAAAAAUGUAUGCAAGAUAUAUCCGAUGGACUUCAAAAUUCCCUCAUUUAUAUAUUGACCCAUAUGCCAUGAUGGUAUAAAAUAGGUUUUGAUGCACUUCAAGUACCUUCUGUUUUGAUUUUCAGUGCAGUCCUGACCAGAGCAAACAGGGUGGCGUUGAAGGUUACGGUGCCAUCACUGUUGAGAGGCAUGUUCAUACCAACCAAACGCUACAGACAGGACAAACAGUACAACAAAACAUUUUAUUUUUGUGUCUUUGCAUGUGAUUUUUUUAACAGUUUUUAGUUUGCUAAUGCCACCAUUUAUGGCCGUGUGUACCUUGCAUGCAGCACGAUGAGGACAGAACUUGCCAAAACCCAGUGGAGGCUGGAUGCGUCGCAGUAACGUCACCACAUCCAGAUGUUUGAUUCUCCCCCUGUUAGAUCAGACAAACAUUUCACAUGAACUUUGAGUGACAACCACAAAAAAUCUGGCUUUAUUCCGAAGGUUGACACUCACGUGGCUUCAGGGUCAUAUUCAGCCCAGAUCUUCUUAAACUCAUCCAGAUGAUGUGGACCAAGAAGAGACCAAUCACGGGUCAGAUAGUCAAAGUUGUCCAUGAUAACAGCAACAAACAAGUUGAGGAUCUGAGUUAGGAAGGAUAAAAAUAUUCUUAUCAACACAUAAGCGUUUCUGUUUCAGCAUUUCUAGAGAAACAGAAUUUCUUUCAAAAAAUGAACUGUUGAACCUGAGGCUGCUUCUCACCAGGAAGGCACAAAGACAGUAGAAGCUGAGGAAGUAGAAGACAGCAAAGUUGGACCCACAGGUGUACUCUUCUCCUGGCAGGAAGUCAGACUUGGGGUCACACUUCUUCCCAUACAUUGAAGCCAUCAUGACCUCCUGCCAUGCCUCUCCAGUAGCACAUCUGGGUAUGGAAACACACACCAAAUAAGAAGAUCUUGGCUCUGUUUUUAAAGCUGAAAACCAUUUGGAACUGAGGAAACUUCUGGGCCUUUUUUUUUUGCUCCUGUCACAUUUUUACUCACUAUGGGCUCAAUUUUACCGCAAUAAAAAGUCCAUAAGACACUUCUAUGGAAAAAGUAACAACAUAAGUAGAAGUACAGAGAAUUUAUAAAAUGUCUUAAUGCAGUUUAACAGAGCUAUAAUGGCACAAAUCAUUUUUAAAAAAGAAGUAGAAUUUCUUAGAUUCUUUAUUUUACAAAAAUGUAAAUAACUGUAAUCAACAUGUUCAACAUUUUCCCAAGUCUCCCCAGGUGUUAAUGGAUACUACAAAAAUGGGAACUUAACAUACACGAAGUUUUCCGUACAUUUUAAAUUUGUUUCCGUACUAUGGUUUCUGUAAACUGUGUGUGUGUCUGUGUAAAUACAGCCUGCAGUUCAGCCAAAUUCAGCCAGAAACUCUUUGAAUUUUUGUCAUAUGUCUAUUGGUCCCAUCUUAGUCAGUCUAAACAAUGUCAUGCAAAAUGAAGUGAUUUUGAAGAAACAUCACCAGUUCAGAUUGGGUCAUUUUGGAGAUGUUUUAAUGAUAACAUACCUUUUAAAACUGAUAGUGUGUUUUGGGGUUCGGAGGUUUAAAUCAUGGCCUAGAAACUCACCGGAAUAACAUCAGAACAGCCUGAGGGAAUGUCUGGAAGUUGUUGUUGCGGUUGAUUUGGGUGCCGUCCACUAAGGCUACCUUUCCAAAGAUCUGAAGGUUGUUACAAUACAAGUCAAAAUUAGAAUCAUUCACCAAGAACAAAUAUGGGAACUUUUAAGCAGGAACACAAUGACAAUCUAUUGAGGAUUCCAAUAUUUAACUUCAUAAAAUAAAUAUUGACGACUGCACCUGCAUCCCAAUGACAGCGUAGAUGAAGAAGAGCAUCACAAUGAGCAGAGCUACGUGAGGGAGGGCCUGUGGACAGAAGACAUUCACGUCAUGGACAUGACAACUAGGACGCACAGUGGAGAACAGAAAUUGAAUAAAUAAUGACCUGGAAAGACUUGAUGAAGGUCCACAGCAGAUUACGGAUUCCCUCUGAGCGGUUCAGCAGUUUGACCAGACGCAUAACACGGAAGAGUCGGAAGAACGUGAUGGAAACUGAGGCAUUUUCAGAGGCCUGAGGACAAAAAGACAGAGUAGAAUGAGAAUAAAGCAUUAAGUAAAACACACAAACAUCAGGUUGAAAUGUUAGGAGAGUUUAGAGGCUUACCGCAAUGGCUUGCAUAGGAUUCGUCUCCUGCACAAAAUGAAGAGAUUACAGAUGGUGGUUGCAUGAGUUGUACUUAACAGAAUAAUAUCAUGAAUAGUAGGGACAUAAACAUAGAAUGCUAAGUUAUGAUCAGCUGUUAGACAGGAUUUAAGGGUUAAUAUUAGAGUCAUUUUUCUACUUUGGAUGAGUUGUACAGUUUUCUGGUCUGAGCAGCUAAAUGGUUGCAACUUGUAUCUCAUGCGAAAUAGACAAAAUACACACGCUUCACUGUCAAAAUAUUAACUGUUUUCAGUCAGUCAAGCCGUCACUAACACUUGCUGUGAAUUUCUACAUAGAGCUGCCAUGUAGGCCUGUUUAUAUCAACAGUAUGAACCAUACUGUAGCACAAUAUAGCAAAACCCUUGAGGUCUUAUCUUACAUUUGCACUGUAAGAUGAGACUGACAGUCGAAACGCUGAUGUUUCACCAGCAGGUUGGGCAACACGCGAUCCAUUAGAGUAGCGCUACGGUUUAGUAGAGAACAUAGUGGAGUGCUCACACAGCAAGGCUCAUGCAGCAGUGCAGUGCAGAUCAGAUAUUUACAGCACAGCCAUGGAGACAGUACAGUCCUCCACUGGAGGCCAGGGCAGUCUGUGGAGGAUAGACAGAUGAGGAGUGAGGUGCAUGGAGGACAGAAGGAUUGAUGGGGAUGAGAAAAAGAGGAGAAGUGGAACAGGAAAAAGAUGUGACAAAGGAUGUGGAUGGACAAAAGUGAAACUGUGACAAGCUUGUGCGUGAAAAUAUGAUGACAACGCAGUGCAACGGUGACAGAAAAGAUUGGCAUUAUGACAAAAAAAAAACAAAAAAAUCCCUAAUAUGCUCUUUCUGAAUGUUCACACAACACAUAUAAGACAUUAAAUCGCUUGAAAGAGAGAGUGUAACGUGAAAUUGUGCGAAUAACAUGUAGUUUUGUGAUGGAAAUUUAAAAUUUUUUAAUUUAACCUUUAUUUAACCAGGAGAGAUCCCGUUGAGAUUAAGAACCUCUUUUUCAAGGUAGUCCCGGCCAAGAUAGGCAGCAGCAAGUACAAAGCACAGUUGUAAAAUUACACAGUUAAAACAUAAUUAAAACAUGAACAAAAAAAAAAACCUAAUGAAAAAAAUUACAUUUACAAGCAACUUGCAAAAAACAAGUGCAUGUUGUGAAAACGGCCUCAAGAACUCGUAGUUUAGAUUUAAAGGCACUCAAUGAGAUUAACUCGUGAAUGAAAAUGCAUCUUAGAUUGCACAAGUUGCAGAGGAGGGAGAGAAUGGAGGAGGUGAAGUGGAAAUAAACAACAACAGUACUGACCACGUCCUUUCAGAUAGUUCUCCUGUUGGGCCACAAUUCUAAGCUUCUGGAUCAGAUUACUGAAUAAAUACAUUCCAGCCUGAAUCACUUCAUAGCCUGGGAGUUUGUCAUGAAGACAGCAAAUGAGACUUCCAUACACAGCACCUGCAAUGAGAACCUGAAAUCUGAGGACCUUAUCUUGUCUCAUGUACUCACAUCGACUUCACUCAGGAUGACAUCAACGACGCUACCAAUGACGAUGAUGAAGUCAAACACGUUCCAGGGGUCUCCAAAGUAGCCCUGCAGGAAAAGACAAAGCAUCCCGACAGAUUAGGAGCUGAGACUCGGUGGGUCGCCGUUAGAACAGCAAACAUUAGAGCGUUUACCCUCGCUUUGAAGGCCAUGAGCUUGAGAAUCAUCUCCACAGUGAAGAGCACGGUGAAGAUCAAGUUGAGAGUGUCCGACAGCUUGGUAACAUGGUCCGACUGAUUACAGUGCUGAAAAUAAAUUCGCAUUAAUGUGUUAGAACUACUGAUUUGGCAUAGAAGAAUUACACAAUGAUGAAAAAAGUAUUAAUAUUAGAGCAACAUACUGUAAAGUAUCCAGAAAUAGGAAGAAAACCGACACAAAUAAACUUGGCCUUUAAUGAUAAGUAAAUCGGGCCAAUAUUGUAACUUUCAAGAUAAUCUAAACUGGAGCUAUAGUUACAUGAAAACAGGCACCAAAUUUGUAAAUCAUUGCUUUUCUGAAAAUUAACAAAUACGCAAGAUGUAUGUAGAGAAAUCGACAGGGCAUCUGGCAUUUAUGGUCCCCUAAUUUUGCUCAAAAUUAAUUAUUUUGGGAUUUACAAUAGAACAGAAAUAUUUGAAGUAUAAAUAAAACAAAUAAAUGAGAAAUAAGAGAAAUAUACUAAAGUACAAAAUACACAAAACUAAAAUAUACUAUGAUUAAAAAUGUACUGUAAAGUUGUUAUGUCCCAUUAUUAAAAUACUGUUUCAAAUAUUAAAGUACUUUACUAAAUGCUCUGAAAAGCCUUAAACCCUUGUGAUUCAGGACACAGAAUCAACUCAGCAGCAUCUAAAGAUACUAAACAGACUCUUGAUGUUAUCUGUCAGGACCCUCUGUACAAUCUCAGUGUUUUCAGGUUUUAACAUGACCUUCAUUUCCAUACCUGCAUCCCCAGACACAAGGUGUUGAGCAUAAUUAGGAAGAACAUGAGGUACUCAAAGUAGCAGGAGGUGACAAUGUACCAGACCCUGUACUGGUAGGGAUUUUUGGGGAUGUAGCACCUCAGAGGACGGGCCUUUAGAGCGUACUGCACACACUGACGCUGAGGGGACCCAGAACAGACAGGAGAGAAUUAGUUCAUUUAUCCGACAGCAACAAUCUGAUUUGUACCAAGACUGACUGCACUUUCAGUUUUGUAUGUGUACCUGGUUCUUGUCCAGCUCACAGUUCUUAUACUCCUGCUCGCCCUGCUCCUGGAAGGUAACAAUGACAAAGCCCACAAAGAUGUUCAUCAUGAAGAAGGCUAUGAGGAUGAUGUAGAUGAUGAAGAAUAUCGACACGUCGACACGGUUGUUGAACACCGGACCCAUAUCUUCUUCGUCUGAAUCUAUGGCCCUGUACAGGAGCCUGGAAACAAAUGAGAAGAGAGAGAAAAUUGGCAGAGCAAAGAUUAGAGCUCAGAGAUACAAUAAAGCUAAUUUGGACAGACUCCAGGGGAUGGAAUUACUUCCAAUGCAAUAACCACCUAACCUGAUAUCCUGACGUCUAACUCAAUCAAACAGAUAAAAUCCUAUUAGAAGACGCAAUUUCUCAAAUCCAGAUUUAUUCCAUGCUUACUUUGGCCAGCCCUCAAACGUGGAAACAGUGAAUAGAGCCAACAUCCCAUAGAGCACGUUGUCAAAGUUGAAGUCGCUGUUGAGCCAUUCUCUUUUCGCCAGCACUGUGUCUUGUAGGGAAUUUUCCAUGUGCUUCCAGAAGAAUCCCCUGAGAGCAGACACAGUGAAUAGUUGCUCUAAAAUAGCAAUAUGGUUUUACUAAAUGAAAUCUAGGAUGUGCAAAUGUUCUUUGGCUUACUGGCAUUCCUCCUCAGUCACUUUGGACGGGUCUGUGCAGCUGUAGAAUUUACCCUGGGAGGGAAAGGAUCAGUGACGCAUCUAGUACACCAGCAGCAAGGCUUCUAUCCUCACUUAAGCUUAGUCUGGAAAUACGACCUUCACAGUAUCGCACCGCAUAUGGCCAUGAAGCAACAUGUUCACAAACUUACCUUAAAGAGUUGGACUCCGAUGCAGGCGAACAUGAAAUUCAGCAGCAUGGUGACCAGGACGAUGUUGCCGAUUGUUUUGAUGGCCACAAACACGCACUGAACUACAUGCUGUCAACAUAAAUAAUGAUUCAUUAACACUGAGCAAAAGUGUAGAUUUGUGGAGUCAAACAAGUUCUGUAUUUAAAACAGAUUUGCAGUACUUAAGCCACUGUCUGCUACUUUAUGCAGUUUUGUUCAAAAGCUUACAUACCCUGGCAGAAAAAAUUAUGUUUCAUUCUUUAAUGAAAACAUGAAUGAUCAGAGCAAAUACAAUUGUGUGACUAUAAAUAACUUUGUCUGACCACUAACUAAACUAGAAAAGCACUCAGAGAGCGCAGUUAUUGAUUAGUUAUUGAUGAUCAAAAAUCACGGCAAGCUAGAAUGUGGCCAUUUAAUAUAGAUGUAUCCACAAACAAAAUGAUCUUGCACUAUGACGGUUUUUCAACAUUUUGAGUGACAUACUAAACUAUGACGUUUUUUGACAUUUUGGACCACAUACUAAACUAUGACAUUUUAGUGAUAUUUUGGACGACAUACUAAACUAUGACAUUUUGGUGAUAUUUUGGACGACAUACUCAACUAUGACAUUUGUUUCAUAUUUUGCACGACAUACUAAACUAUGACAUUUUUGGCCAUAUUUUGGACAACAUAUUAAACUAUGACAUUUUUGUGAUAUUUUGGACCACAUACUAAACUAUGACGUUUUUUACACAUUUUGGACGACAUACUGAACAAUGACGUUUUUUUGUCACAUUUUAGAUGACAUACUAAACUAUGACGUUUUAGUGACAUUUUGGACCACAUACUGAACAAUGACGUUUUUUGGUCACAUUUUAGAUGACAUACUAAACUAUGACGUUUUAGUGACAUUUUGGACCACAUACUGAACAAUGACGUUUUUGGUCAUAUUUUGGACGACAUACUAAACUAUGAUGUUUUUGUGAUAUUUUGGACGACAUUGCAAACUAUGACAUUUUUUACACAUUUUGGACAAAUUUGUGACAUUUUUGAGGACAUACUAAACUAUGAUGUUUUAGUGACAUUUUGGACGACAUACUGAACUAUGAUGUUUUUUACACAUAUUGUACGACAUACUAAACUAUGACGUAUUAGUCACGUUUUGGACGACAUACUAAACUAUGACAUAUUUGUGACAUUUUGGACGACAUACUGAACAAUGAAGUUGUUGGUCAUAUUUUGUACGACAUAUUAAACUAUGACGUAUUUGUCACGUUUUGGACAACAUACUAAACUAUGAUGUUUUCUUGAACAUUUUGGACAACAAACUAAACUGUGACAUUUUGAGGACAUUUUGGACAACAUACUAAACUAUGAUGUUUUUUCCGGUCUUUUUUUUCCCCCAAUAGGUAAGUACAGAGGAAGACCUGCAGUAAAGGGCCAUGAGCUGGAAUCGAGCCACUGCCUCUGACACAGUCCUGUUUAGGAGUCGCCCUCUUAACCAGUAGAGCUGCCUUGGGCACCACUUAUUUGAUGACAUACUGAACUAUGACGUUUUCUUUCCACAUUUUGGACGACAUACUAAACUAUGACGUUUUAGUGACAUUUUGGACCACAUACUGAACAAUGACGUUUUUUUGUCACAUUUUAGAUGACAUACUAAACUAUGACGUUUUAGUGACAUUUUGGACCACAUACUGAACAAUGACGUUUUUGGUCAUAUUUUGGACGACAUUGCAAACUAUGACAUUUUUUACACAUUUUGGACAAAUUUGUGACAUUUUUGAGGACAUACUAAACUAUGAUGUUUUAGUGACAUUUUGGACGACAUACUGAACUAUGAUGUUUUUUACACAUAUUGUACGACAUACUAAACUAUGACGUAUUAGUCACGUUUUGGACGACAUACUAAACUAUGACAUAUUUGUGACAUUUUGGACGACAUACUGAACAAUGAAGUUGUUGGUCAUAUUUUGUAUGACAUAUUAAACUAUGACGUAUUUGUCACGUUUUGGACAACAUACUAAACUAUGAUGUUUUCUUGAACAUUUUGGACAACAAACUAAACUGUGACAUUUUGAGGACAUUUUGGACAACAUACUAAACUAUGAUGUUUUUUCCGGUCUUUUUUUUCCCCCAAUAGGUAAGUACAGAGGAAGACCUGCAGUAAAGGGCCAUGAGCUGGAAUCGAGCCACUGCCUCUGACACAGUCCUGUUUAGGAGUCGCCCUCUUAACCAGUAGAGCUGCCUUGGGCACCACUUAUUUGAUGACAUACUGAACUAUGACGUUUUCUUUCCACAUUUUGGACGACAUACUAAACUAUGACGUUUUAGUGAUAUUUUGGACCACAGACUAAACUGUGAUGUUCUAAUGAAUUUUGGAUGACAUACUAAACUAUGAUGAUUUUUUUCUAAGUUGUUUCCGGGUCGUUUUGUUGUUGUUCUAUUUUCAAUAGGUAAGUAUAGACAAA